UCCCCCUGCUGGCUGUGAGCUCAGGAAGACUUUGUCGUCUGUCAUCUCAGAAGGAUCCCUGCUGACCAGGACAAUGCCUGGAAUCCAACCUGCCACCCCAAUGCUGCAGCUGAGCUUCUCCUGGACACACAGAUGGGGCAGCUUCCAGGCCUGAGCCAGCCAGCAUCCAGAAGCCUAUGCCCAUCAUGUCUUUCCUUGCCUUUUUAUACAGUUUUAUCCACUUAUUGGUAUUCCUUAAAAAGUAUAUUUAAAGUUUUUCAAGUCUAUAAAAAGGGUAUUAAA